AACCUGAAUAAGAACAUCACUCAUAUAACCGCAAGAAUAUGGCUUGCAAGUUUCUACCGGAUCACCGUAAAUGAUUCGACUAUGAGUGAGCAACCUUCAGUU
rnacentral:ncRNA from 2 species